rnacentral:lncRNA from 1 species
CCACUCUCCAAAGGCCGAAACAGAAGUAUAGUGCCCAUUUGAUAGGAAGAUGAAGUUCAGGUUGUCCAAGGACACCACAAAGGUCAGCAGAUUAGCAAGGCGGUCCAGGUGCACAGAAGGCAAUGUGUCAUCUACACUGAAAAGGUGUGGCCCGGAAAGAGUAAUGGCAUAACCGUCCACGUGGGCAUCCACCCCAGCACGGUGGGGAUCGGCAGGCUAAAGUGACAAAGACAGAAAAGAAAUCCUAGAAGGAAAAGCCAGUGCUGCCCAGCAGGAAAGGAGAAGGGCAAAUACAAGGGUGAUGAAGAAGAUGCAGGGGAGGAA